UACGUAGGAUGCGAGCGUUAUCCGGAUUUAUUGGGUUUAAAGGGUGCGUAGGCGGUCCGUUAAGUCAGCGGUAAAAAUGCGGUGCUCAACGCCGUCGAGCCGUUGAAACUGGCGUUCUUGAGUGGGCGAGAAGUAUGCGGAAUGCGUGGUGUAGCGGUGAAAUGCAUAGAUAUCACGCAGAACUCCGAUUGCGAAGGCAGCAUACCGGCGCCCUACUGACGCUGAGGCACGAAAGCGUGGGUAUCGAACAGG
rnacentral:rRNA from 1 species